AUGUGGAGAGCAUGAGCCGGGAAAGGAAAGACCGGUGCAAGCGGGACAGUAGCCAUGCAGGCAAAUCCGUGUGGCAAUGCGAAGACGUGACGCGGACCGAAAUAAAGUAGGGAAGCAUGUGAGCCAUGUGCCAAGAAAAGCCGCUAUAGAUCAUACCGUACCCGUACCGUAAACCAACACAGGUAGAUGAGGAGAGAAUCCUAAGGCCGACGGGAGAAGCAUUGUUAAGGAACUCGGCAAAAUGACCCCGUAACUUCGGGAGAAGGGGUGCCCACGCGAGUGGGCCGCAGAGAAUAGGCUCAAGCAACUGUUUAGCAAAAACACAGGUCUAUGCGAAACCGAAAGGUGAGGUAUAUGGGCUGACGCCUGCCCGGUGCUGGAAGGUUAAGAGGAGGAGUCAGGCAACGAAGCUCCGAAUUUAAGCCCCAGUAAACGGCGGCCGUAACAAUAACGGUCCUAAGGUAGCGAAAUUCCUUGUCGGGUAAGUCCCGACCCGCACGAAAGGCGUAAUGAUUUGAGCACUGUCUCGACAAUGCACCCGGUGAGAUUGAAGUACCAGUGAAGAUGCUGGUUACCUGCGCCAGGACGGAAAGACCCCAUGGAGCUUUACUCCAGUUUGAUACUGGGAUUCGAUACUGAAUGUACAGGAUAGGUGGGAGGCUGAGAGGCGUGGACGCCAGUCUGCGGUGAGCCGCUGUUGGGAUACCACCCUUUGAGUAUUGGAUUUCUAACCUGCGCCCGUGACCCGGGCGGGGGACAAUGUCUGACGGGGAGUUUGACUGGGGCGGUCGCCUCCGAAAGGGUAUCGGAGGCGCUCAAAGGUUCCCUCAGAAUGGUUGGAAACCAUUCGCAGAGUGCAAAGGCAGAAGGGAGCUUGACUGUGACACCGACGGGUGGAGCAGGUACGAAAGUAGGACUUAGUGAUCCGGUGGUAUGAAAGUGGGAUUGCCAUCGCUCAACGGAUAAAAGCUACCCUGGGAUAACAGGCUUAUCACUCCCAAGAGUUCACAUCGACGGAGUGGUUUGGCACCUCGAUGUCGGCUCAUCGCAUCCUGGGGCUGUAGCAGGUCCCAAGGGUUGGGCUGUUCGCCCAUUAAAGCGGUACGCGAGCUGGGUUCAGAACGUCGUGAGACAGUUCGGUCCCUAUCCGGCGCAGGCGUAGGAUAUUUGAGAGGAGCUGUCCUUAGUACGAGAGGACCGGGAUGGACAGACCGCUGGUGUAUCUGUUGGUGACCAACACCAUGGCAGAGUAGCCAAGUCUGGCAGGGAUAAACGCUGAAGGCAUCUAAGCGUGAAGCCCCCCUCAAGAUGAGAUAUCCCAAUAAGUAAGACCCCUUAGAGAGUAUGAGGUAGAUAGGCUUAAGGUGUAAGCAUAGUAAUAUGUUCAGCUGAUAAGUACUAAUAGGUCGAGGGCUUAUCAAA
rnacentral:rRNA from 1 species